AUUGAACGCUGGCGGCAGGCCUAACACAUGCAAGUCGAGCGGAUGAAGGGAGCUUGCUCCUGGAUUCAGCGGCGGACGGGUGAGUAAUGCCUAGGAAUCUGCCUGGUAGUGGGGGAUAACGUCCGGAAACGGGCGCUAAUACCGCAUACGUCCUGAGGGAGAAAGUGGGGGAUCUUCGGACCUCACGCUAUCAGAUGAGCCUAGGUCGGAUUAGCUAGUUGGUGGGGUAAAGGCCUACCAAGGCGACGAUCCGUAACUGGUCUGAGAGGAUGAUCAGUCACACUGGAACUGAGACACAGUCCAGACUCCUACGGGAGGCAGCAGUGGGGAAUAUUGGACAAUGGGCGAAAGCCUGAUCCAGCCAUGCCGCGUGUGUGAAGAAGGUCUUCGGAUUGUAAAGCACUUUAAGUUGGGAGGAAGGGCAGUAAGCUAAUACCUUGCUGUUUUGACGUUACCAACAGAAUAAGCACCGGCUAACUUCGUG
rnacentral:rRNA from 1 species